UUCUCUCACAGAAACCCAAGGCCCACAGCCGUCCACCGUGCACAGCUGGCCGGAGAUCACCUUCCCCGGCGGCAAUGCUCCAAAUUGCACCAAAUUAACACCGUCAACUCCCCUCAACCUCCUCUAUCCAAAUAUGCAUUCCCCGUCCCUCGAACAUCAUCAGAACUCUUCGAAUAUUGUUUUAAAAUACGGACUCCACCGUCAUGUACGGCGGCACCGCUUCCUUUAGACCCUCAAAUUACACUGUUGAACCCUCUCCUCCUCCUCCUCAUACCAGAUCCACACUUAACAACCUUCAAAAACCCCUAGAACUUCUCGAAAGUUGGUUCAAGCUGCCAAACAUCAUCACCCAAAAAAUCGUCCAAACCCUCAACCUGUAACUCCUAUCACCCUACCUCUCCACUGGUCUGUGGUUGUUUGUUCACAAAAAGCCCAAAGUUGGAUGAGUUCUAGGUUAAGCUAAGUUUUCAUUCUAUUUUUUUAAUCUCUCUUCACCUCAUCUCGUUUAUGUCGAUUUUGUUAAUUCCGGG
rnacentral:lncRNA from 1 species